rnacentral:rRNA from 1 species
AGCCAUAAGUAGAUGUUUAUGGUUAUACCUGCCCAAUGUAUAAAAUGAAUGGCCGCGGUACCUUGACCGUGCUAAGGUAGCGUAAUAAAUUGACUUUUAAAUGGAGUCAGGUAUGAAUGGAUAGACUGGGUUUAGCUGUCUCAAAGGUAUUUAAUUGAAUUUACUGUCUAAGUGAAAAAGCUUAGCUAAAAUAAAGGGACGAGAAGACCCUUAAAAUUUCAUUUAAAACAAUUUAUAAUUGUUUGCAAUUUUGUUGGGGCGACAUAGAAAUAAUUAUAACUUUCUUUUAAUUAUCAGUCGGAAUUUUCAAGAGUGGAUAAAUUACUUAAGGGAUAACAGCAUAAUUCUAAAAUUGAGUUUGUGACCUCGAUGUUGGACUAGGAAGCUAGUAGGUUAGACGCUUGCUGUGGAGAUUCUGUUCGAAUUUUAACUCCUA